rnacentral:lncRNA from 1 species
CUGCCUCGGCCUCCCAAAGUGCUGGGAUUACAGGCGUGAGCCACCGCGCCCGGCCCCUUCAUUCUUUCUUCCACAGCGCUAGGGAGGAAUUGCUGGUGUUGGAGACACCUUGCUACUUGGGUGAGAGAAGGAGGAGUAAUUAACAAGAGAGAAACCCCUGUCUGAAAAUCACAAAGCAUUCGACACAUAUGCGGAAUCCAUAUUACUGAGAAUAUUAGCAGAGUGGCGUAGAAACUUGAGUCAUUCGCUGUGGCUCAUGCCUUAAUCUCAACACUUCAGGAGGCUGACGCAGGAGGAUUGCUUGAGCCCAGGAAUUUGAGACUAGCUUGGGCAUCAUAGUGAGACCCUGUCUCUACAAAAAGUAAACAAAAGUAGCUGGACACAGUGGUUCAUGCCUGUAGUGGCAGGUACUCGGGAGGCUGAGGUGGGAGGACCACUUGAGCCCGGGAUGUUGAGGCUGCAGUGAGCCAAGAUCUCACCACAGAGUGGUGCCUGUGACAGAGUGGGACCAUGGUGACAGAGUAAGAUCAUGUCUCAAAAAAAAAGGCACAACAAAUCUCAAGUUAUUUUAGGUUUCACUGGAGGUUUGUGAUAGUCUCAGGCAGAAAGCUCAGCAACGGGGCUUGUCUUUCCCAGGAAUGUAUUGGCAGCUUUCCUUGUGAUAGGUGUAUCCAUUUUCUCCACACUGAGGUACUAGAAUCUCAAUGGAGAAUGUACAUAGAUUAAACCAACCAACAAAAGCAAAGCAAAUUAACAAAACACACUAUUUUCAGAGGGU